rnacentral:rRNA from 1 species
CCCCUGAAGGGCCGUUGAAGACCACAACGUUGAUAGGCGGGGUGUGGAAGCUGCCGUAAGGCGUGAAGCUAACCCGUACUAAUUGCCCGUGAGGCUUGACCAUAUAAC